rnacentral:tRNA from 1 species
AAAUUUAGGUUAACAAUAAACCAAGAGCCUUCAAAGCCCUAAAUAGGUAAACACAUCCUAAUUUCUG